rnacentral:misc_RNA from 1 species
GAUGAAGAACGCAGCGAAAUGCGAUACGUAGUGUGAAUUGCAGAAUUCAGUGAAUCAUCGAAUCUUUGAACGCACAUUGCACCUCUCGGUAUUCCGGGAGGUAUGCCUGUUCGAGCGUCAUUUGUACCCUCAAGCUCUGCUUGGUGUUGGGUGUUUGUCUCGCCUCUGCGUGUAGACUCGCCUCAAAACAAUUGGCAGCCGGCGUAUUGAUUUCGGAGCGCAGUACAUCUCGCGCUUUGCACUCAUAACGACGACGUCCAAAAGUACAUUUUUACACUCUUGACCUCGGAUCAGGUAGGGAUACCCGCUGAACUUAAGCAUAUCAUAAGCGGAGGA